ACGGGUGAGUAACGCGUGGGAAUCUACCGUACCCUACGGAAUAGCUCUGGGAAACUGGAAGUAAUACCGUAUACGCCCUUCGGGGGAAAGAUUUAUCGGGGUAUGAUGAGCCCGCGUUGGAUUAGCUAGUUGGUGGGGUAAAGGCCUACCAAGGCGACGAUCCAUAGCUGGUCUGAGAGGAUGAUCAGCCACAUUGGGACUGAGACACGGCCCAAACUCCUACGGGAGGCAGCAGUGGGGAAUAUUGGACAAUGGGCGCAAGCCUGAUCCAGCCAUGCCGCGUGAGUGAUGAAGGUCUUAGGAUUGUAAAGCUCUUUCACCGGAGAAGAUAAUGACGGUAUCCGGAGAAGAAGCCCCGGCUAACUUCGUGCCAGCAGCCGCGGUAAUACGAAGGGGGCUAGCGUUGUUCGGAAUUACUGGGCGUAAAGCGCACGUAGGCGGGUAUUUAAGUCAGGGGUGAAAUCCCAGAGCUCAACUCUGGAACUGCCUUUGAUACUGGGUAUCUUGAGUAUGGAAGAGGUAAGUGGGAUUGCGAGU
rnacentral:rRNA from 1 species